AACAAGGCGUACCUGCGGACCUGCGGAAGGAUCAUUAAAAAGAGUGUGUACCCCUCUGUAAAAUGAGUGGGUUACCUCCCGUCCUUUGUUGACCUCUUAGGAGGUUAUUUUGAACUUUCUGCUUCGGUGGGGUUAAACCUACCGGAACACCCUCAAAUUCUUAUCAUUUAAAAAUUGUUCAGUCUGAUUUUUGUUAAUAAAAACAAAAAACUUUUAACAACGGAUCUCAGAUCGGAAGAG
rnacentral:misc_RNA from 1 species